rnacentral:rRNA from 1 species
GAAACAUCUUAGUACCCGGAGGAAGAGAAAGAAAAUUCGAUUCCCUUAGUAGCGGCGAGCGAAACGGGAAGAGCCCAAACCAACAAGCUUGCUUGUUGGGGUUGUAGGACACUCUAUACGGAGUUACAAAGGACGACAUUAGACGAAUCAUCUGGAAAGAUGAAUCAAAGAAGGUAAUAAUCCUGUAGUCGAAAAUGUUGUCUCUCUUGAGUGGAUCCUGAGUACGACGGAGCACGUGAAAUUCCGUCGGAAUCUGGGAGGACCAUCUCCUAAGGCUAAAUACUCUCUAGUGACCGAUAGUGAACCAGUACCGUGAGGGAAAGGUGAAAAGCACCCCGGAAGGGGAGUGAAAUAGAACCUGAAACCGUGUGCUUACAAGUAGUCAGAGCCCGUUAAUGGGUGAUGGCGUGCCUUUUGUAGAAUGAACCGGCGAGUUACGAUUUGAUGCAAGGUUAAGCAGUAAAUGUGGAGCCGUAGCGAAAGCGAGUCUGAAUAGGGCGUUUAGUAUUUGGUCGUAGACCCGAAACCAGGUGAUCUACCCUUGGUCAGGUUGAAGUUCAGGUAACACUGAAUGGAGGACCGAACCGACUUACGUUGAAAAGUGAGCGGAUGAACUGAGGGUAGCGGAGAAAUUCCAAUCGAACCUGGAGAUAGCUGGUUCUCUCCGAAAUAGCUUUAGGGCUAGCCUCAAGUGAUGAUUAUUGGAGGUAGAGCACUGUUUGGACGAGGGGCCCCUCUCGGGUUACCGAAUUCAGACAAACUCCGAAUGCCAAUUAAUUUAACUUGGGAGUCAGAACAUGGGUGAUAAGGUCCGUGUUCGAAAGGGAAACAGCCCAGACCACCAGCUAAGGUCCCAAAAUAUAUGUUAAGUGGAAAAGGAUGUGGCGUUGCCCAGACAACUAGGAUGUUGGCUUAGAAGCAGCCAUCAUUUAAAGAGUGCGUAAUAGCUCACUAGUCGAGUGACACUGCGCCGAAAAUGUACCGGGGCUAAA